rnacentral:rRNA from 1 species
UACGUAGGGUGCAAGCGUUGUCCGGAAUUAUUGGGCGUAAAGAGCUCGUAGGCGGUUUGUUGCGUCGGCUGUGAAAUCCCGAGGCUCAACCUCGGGUCUGCAGUCGAUACGAGCAAACUAGAGUGUUGCAGGGGAGACUGGAAUUCCUGGUGUAGUGGUGGAAUGCGUAGAUAUCGGGAGGAACACCAGUGGCGAAGGCGGUUACCUGGAGCUUUGCUGACGCUGAUGCGCGAAAGCGUGGGGAGCGAGUCCGG